rnacentral:lncRNA from 1 species
ACGGCGUCAUAUGGACUCCAACUGGGACAUUCCUAUACUUGAUGGAAAGCUCAUGAAGUCUACUUUCCAAUGGGUCCAACCACAUAUCUAUGCAGCUUAUGAGUCGGGCGCAGUCCUUGUUUUUGUGCCACACCUUUUUCUGUUUUGGUGCUGCGUCACCCUAUUUUGGACCAAUGGCCCAUGUAUCAAGUUGAGUCCAUUAGGGACGCGUCCUAGGGUUGGAGGACGACUCUAGCACCCCUUUGGUCGUCCUCCCCUCUAUUUAUUUACAUCUAGAGCCGCCAUGAACAACUGGGUUUUGAUUAGAUAAAGUUUAGCCUUCGCUACUUGCUUGUAAAUGCGCGUGCUGAUCCAGCCGCCCGUCUUCUUGUUUUCGAAACCCCACUUCAUUAGAGAUUGAGUUUGAAACCUUCAUUUACAUCUAGUAAUUUAGUACUUGUUCUACUUGUUCUUGCUGGUUCUUCGAUUGCUUGCAGGACGAGUGCCCUAGUGGCCGGGUGUUGCGCUCCACAAGAUCGUGACAGCCAUUGGAGGCGGUGUAUCGGUUGCUAAGGCGCGGCCUUAGAAGGCUGUAGUCGGGCCGUGAACGUCAUCUCCAUUUACUAAUCGAGUUAUCCAGCGCCUCUCAUCGAAAGAUCAGGCGAAAACCCUAGUGGGUUCACAUCAGUUGGUAAUCAGAGCAAGGUUUAUCGGUGAGAGAUUUCCAAUUCUUCGUGUUUGUUUUUCCUAUAGUCCAAAAAAAGAAAAAAAAAUAUAGCAGAUUUGUUUUCCAUAAUCCUAUAAAUCCUUUGUGCCGUGGCUAGUACUACUUAGUUAGGGCUGGUUGAAUGAGUGUUUGCUUCGGUCGUGUCCAGUGCUGGUUUUAGUUUAGUCCUUUAGAGUUUUGAGUUCUUGUCACCAUCUAGUCACAACUGCAUCCAAUCUAUUGUGGGUUGGAAUUUGAGUAGAUCUUGAUAAUAGGUGCAGCCACUUGUUGGUCUAUUCUGCGUUUCCAUCAACGUGAUCCAAAAGGAAAGAUAGCACUUCAUACUUGUGCUAGAUAUAUUGAAUUUUGAGGUUCAGCCUUACUCUAGUGAGAGGGUGAGAGUGGUGAAGUGAUAUUUUGUACUAUUUUGUUUAUAUAAUCAGGUUUUGAGGUUCCCCAAAAAAAAGAAAAGAGAAAGAAAAAAAAAUAAAAAAAAGAAAGAAAGAAAGAAAAAAUAUCAAAAAAAGGGGAUUGUUGUUCCUUUUUGUUUCCAGUAGGGCUGCUCAUUUUAUUUCUAGUGGUGUGCUGUGUUUUUCCUUUGUGUCCAGGCUCGCGUCUCUAGCACGGUCUAGGCUAGGACCAGCACAGUACCACGGUUGAGCGUUUAUUCAACUUGCUUUUUAUAACUAACGUGGUGCUAGUUCGAUCCUUGUUUCAGCCCACCUAUAGCUCCACAUAUUCUACAGCUUGAUAGGUUUUGUUGCUGCGGCACCGAUACACUUCGUCCAUUGCUGUGGAUUUGUUGGUAGCCAAUCCCUCCUGUUGAGCAAGGUAAGAAUUGGUAAGAACUUGUUAGACAGGUUGAUAGAGAGCGUCUUACAGUAGCCACAUCCUAAUAGCUGUAGGGUUUUAAUUUCUUCACCUAUUUUUCUUGUUUCCACUGUGUGUUUUUUUAAACCAUGUCAGAGACAGAGGAUACCAACAAAAUUCCACAGUCACCUCGCACUAAGGGCAUCAUACAACAUUUUGAAAGGCAAGUGAAGCUACACACAGAGGGACUUGAUGACGACUUGAAGGUGACGAAUGACAAGCUUGGGCAGUUGGAGGACACGCAGAUUGCCACAAACAACAAGAUUACAAAGAUGGAGGCAUCUAUUACUAGUAUGGAUAAAAGUCUUGCUGCUCUUCUCAAACGCUUUGAUGACUUCCACACAAUGGACAAAGAGAAGCAUAAGGAAGAAAACAAGGAGGAAGACCGAGUGGAUGGCAAUUAUGAUGAUGAUUACACUGCUGAUACGGAACGAGAUGAUCAAGACACUCAUCAUCGACGUCGCCUACGUCACACCCAUAGAGGUAUGGGUGGCCACCACCGACGCGAGGUACACAAUAAUAAUGAUGCUUUCAGUAAGAUUAAAUUUAAAAUACCUCCUUUUGAUGGUAAAUAUGACCCUGAUGCAUACAUUACUUGGGAGAUUGCUGUUGACCAAAAGUUUACAUGUCAUGAAUUCCCUGAGGAUACACGUGUUAGGGCUGCUACUAGUGAGUUCACCGAUUUUGCUUCCGUUUGGUGGAUAGAACAUGGCAAGAAAAAUCCUAAUAACAUACCUAGAACUUGGAAUGCGUUGAAACAAGUCAUGAGGGCUAGAUUUGUUCCUUCUUACUAUGCACGUGACAUGAUUAAUAAGUUGCAGCAAUUGAGACAAGGUGCUAAAAGUGUAGAAGAAUAUUAUCAGGAAUUACAAAUGGGUAUGCUGCGAUGUAAUUUAGAGGAGGAAGAAGAACCUGCUAUGGCUAGAUUUUUGGGCGGGUUAAAUCGUGAAAUCUAGGACAUUCUUGCUUAUAAAGAUUAUACUAACGUAACCCGUUUGUUUCAUCUUGCUUCUAAAGCUGAAAGGGAAGUGCAGGGACGACGUUCUAGUGCCAAAUCUAACAAUUCUGCAGGGAAAUCCUGGCAACAACGCACAUCUGCUACAUUGUCGGGUGGUCUACCUCUUCCAUCAAGCCGAUCAAUAGCUCCACCACCUUCCUACAGCGACAAACCACAUGAUUCUUCCACAAAUACAGCAACUAAAUCAGCCCAGAGACCAAUCGCUAGUGCCUCCUCGGUUAAUUCCACAGGAAGAACAAGAGAUGUUCAGUGUCAUCGAUGCAAGGGCUAUGGGCACGUACAGCGAGAUUGUCCAAACAAGCGUGUUUUGGUGGUUAACGCUGAUGGUGGGUAUUCCUCUGCUAGUGAUUUUGAUGACGAUACACGUGCUUUGCUUGCUGCUGAUGAUACAGGUAGGGAUGAAGCAAUAGAAGAGCAGAUAGGUACAGAGAAUGUAGAGCAUUAUGAGAGUCUUAUUGUGCAGCGUGUGCUUAGUGCUCAAGCGGAGAAGGUAGAGCAGAAUCAGCGGCAUACAUUGUUCCAAACAAAGUAUGUUAUUAAAGAGCGUUCUUGUCGUUUGAUUAUUGAUGGAGGUAGCUGCAACAACUUGGCUAGCAGCAACAUGAUGGAGAAGCUUGCACUUACCACCAAACCACAUCCAUAUCACAUUCGGUGGCUGAACAACAGUGGUAAGGCCAAGGUAACAAAACUAGUGCGAAUUAAUUUUACUAUUGGUUCAUACCAUGAUGUUGUUGAAUGUGAUGUUGUACCUAUGGAAGCUUGUAAUAUUCUGCUAGGUAGACCAUGGCAAUUUGAUAAGGAAUGUAUACAUCAUGGUAGAUCAAAUCAGUAUUCGUUUAUGCACCAUGAUAUGAAAAUUGUUUUGCUACCUAUGUCUCCCGAAGCUAUCGUACGUGAUGAAGUUGCUAAAAUUACCAAGCCUAAAAUUAAGAACAAUGCAGAUACCAAUGGAAAUAACAAAGAUGAGAUAAGAUUAAAUGGACAUUGCAUGCUUGCUACUAAAUUUGAAGUUAAUGAACUAAUUGCUUCCACAUCUAUUGCUUAUGCUUUGGUAUGUAAGGGUGUUUUGAUUUCAAUUGAAGAUAUGCUGCAUUCUUUGCCCCCUGCUGUUCAUAACAUUUUGCAGGAGUAUGCUGAUGUUUUUCCAAGUGAGAUACCGGCAGGGCUGCCACCUAUACGUGGGAUUGAGCACCAAAUUGAUCUUAUUCCUGGUGCAUCUUUGCCAAACCGCGCGCCAUACAGGACAAAUCCAGAGGAAACAAAAGAGAUCCAGCGGCAAGUGCAAGAACUCCUCGACAAAGGUUAUGGAAUUGAGGUUGAUCAAGCCAAGGUAGAAGCUAUACAGGGAUGGCCUGUACCAAAGACAAUCACCCAGGUGCGGAGUUUCUUAGGACUUGCUGGGUUUUAUCGCCGUUUUGUGAAGGAUUUCAGCACCAUUGCUGCACCAUUGAAUGAGCUUACAAAGAAGGGAGUGCCUUUUGUGUGGAGCAAAGUACAAGAGAAUUCCUUCAACAUGUUAAAAGAUAAGUUAACACAUGCACCUCUCCUACAGCUUCCUGAUUUUAAUAAGACUUUUGAGCUUGAGUGUGAUGCUAGUGGGAUUGGUUUGGGAGGUGUUUUGCUACAAGAGGGUAAACCUGUUGCAUAUUUUAGUGAGAAAUUGAGUGGGCCUGUUCUGAACUAUUCAACUUAUGAUAAAGAAUUGUAUGCUCUUGUCCGAACUUUAGAAACAUGGCAACAUUAUUUGUGGCCCAAAGAGUUUGUUAUUCAUUCUGAUCAUGAAUCUUUAAAACAUAUUCGUAGUCAAGGAAAACUAAAUCGCAGACAUGCUAAGUGGGUAGAAUUUAUUGAAUCCUUUCCUUAUGUUAUUAAGCACAAGAAAGGGAAGGAGAAUAUCAUUGCUGAUGCUUUGUCAAGGAGAUAUACUUUGCUAAAUCAACUUGAUUACAAGAUUUUUGGAUUAGAAACGAUCAAAGACCAAUAUGUUCAUGAUGCUGAUUUUAAUGAAGUGUUGCUGCGUUGUAAAGAUGGAAAAGGAUGGAACAAAUUCAUCGUUAGUGAUGGGUUUGUGUUUAGAGCUAACAAGCUAUGCAUUCCAGCUAGCUCUGUUCGUUUGUUGUUGUUACAGGAAGCUCAUGGAGGAGGUUUGAUGGGACAUUUUGGAGCAAAGAAGACGGAGGACAUACUUGCUGAUUUGAAACCAUAUUUGGGUGAGGAACAUGAGCUUGAGUCGAGGACGACUCAAAUCCAAGAAAGGGAGGAUGAUGAGGACAUCAACACCAUCAAUAUAUCCGCACCUACACCAGUUGGUCCUCUUACUCAUGCUCGUGCCCGUCAACUCAACCUUCAAGUAAGUUCAGUUUUAAACUCUUGUCAAUCAUAUUUAGACAAUGGAGACACGUGCACUUUCGUGUUGCUCAGGAAUAAUGGACAAGAUCAGCAAGGGAAGGUUCAACUGCAUUCGGAAUUUGAGGCAACACCAACUUCAAGGGCUGAUUGCAUAUGGGAAGAGUGAUAACUUAACAAAGGUGUUUGGAGAUCAGGUCCAAGCCUCCACAACAUCCUCUAUCAAGUUACCACGUUGCUUCUAAAGCAAGGAAACAAAGAGUCCAAACCCAACACGUUUUGUGAGUUGGAUUCGGACUGGAAAAUAACUCUAACUUGUAUGGAUCACCACGGCGUCAUAUGGACUCCAACUGGGACAUUCCUAUACUUGUUGAAAAGCUCAUGAAGUCUACUUUCCAAUGGGUCCAACCACAUAUCUAUGCAGCUUAUGAGUCGGGCGCAGUCCUUGUUUUUGUGCCACACCUUUUUCUGUUUUGGUGCUGCGUCACCCUAUUUUGGACCAAUGGCCCAUGUAUCAAGUUGAGUCCAUUAGGGACGCGUCCUAGGGUUGGAGGACGACUCUAGUACCCCUUUUGUCGUCCUCCCCUCUAUUUAUUUACAUCUAGAGCCGCCAUGAACAACUGGGUUUUGAUUAGAUAAAGUUUAGCCUUCGCUACUUGCUUGUAAACGCGCGUGCUGAUCCAGCCGCCCGUCUUCUUGUUUUCGAAACCCCACUUCAUUAGAGAUUGAGUUUGAAACCUUCAUUUACAUCUAGUAAUUUAGUACUUGUUCUACUUGUUCUUGCUGGUUCUUCGAUUGCUUGCAGGACGAGUGCCCUAGUGGCCGGGUGUUGCGCUCCACAAGAUCGUGACAGCCAUUGGAGGCGGUGUAUCGGUUGCUAAGGCACGGCCUUAGAAGGCUGUAGUCGGGCCGUGAACGUCAUCUCCAUUCACUAAUCGAGUUAUCCAGCACCUCUCAUCGAAAGAUCAGGCGAAAACCCUAGUGGGUUCACAUCAGUUGGUAAUCAGAGCAAGGUUUAUCGGUGAGAGAUUUCCAAUUCUUCGUGUUUGUUUUUCCUAUAGUCCAAAAAAAGAAAAAAAAUAUAGCAGAUUUGUUUUCCAUAAUCCUAUAAAAUCCUUUGUGCCGUGGCUAGUACUACUUAGUUAGGGCUGGUUGAAUGAGUGUUUGCUUCGGUCGUGUCCAGUGCUGGUUUUAGUUUAGUCCUUUAGAGUUUUGAGUUCUUGUCACCAUCUAGUCACAACUGCAUCCAAUCUAUUGUGGGUUCGAAUUUGAGUAGAUCUUGAUAAUAGGUGCAGCCACUUGUUGGUCUAUUCUGCGUUUCCAUCAACAUGAUCCAAAGGGAAAGAUAGCACUUCAUACUUGUGCUAGAUAUAUUGAAUUUUGAGGUUCAGCCUUACUUUAGUGAGAGGGUGAGAGUGGUGAAGUGAUAUUUUGUACUAUUUUGUUUAUAUAAUCAGGUUUUGAGGUUCCCAAAAAAAAACAAAAGAGAAAGAAAAAAAAAUAAAAAAAAAGAAAGAAAGAAAGAAAAAAAAUAAAAAAGGGGAUUGUUGUUCCUUUUGUUUCCAGUAGGGCUGCUCAUUUUGUUUCUAGUGGUGUGCUGUGUUUUCCCUUUGUGUCCAGGCUCGCGUCUCUAGCACGGUCUAGGCUAGGACCAGCACAGUACCACCGCUGAGCGUUUAUUCAACUUGCUUUUUAUAACUAACGUGGUGCUAGUUCGAUCCUUGUUUCAGCCCACCUAUAGCUCCACAUAUUCUACAGCUUGAUAGGUUUUGUUGCUGCGGCACCGAUACACUUCGUCCAUUGCUGUGGAUUUGUUGGUAGCCAAUCCCUCCUGUUGAGCAAGGUAAGAAUUGGUAAGAACUUGUUAGACAGGUUGAUAGAGAGCGUCUUACAGUAGCCACAUCCUAAUAGCUGUAGGGUUUUUAUUUCUUCACCUAUUUUUCUUGUUUUCACUGUGUGUUUUUUAAACCAUGUCAGAGACAGAGGAUACCAACAAAAUUCUACAGUCACCUCGCACUAAGGGCAUCAUACAACAUUUUGAAAGGCAAGUGAAGCUACACACAGAGGGACUUGAUGACGACUUGAAGGUGACGAAUGACAAGCUUGGGCAGUUGGAGGACACGCAGAUUGCCACAAACAACAAGAUUACAAAGAUGGAGGCAUCUAUUACUAGUAUGGAUAAAAGUCUUGCUGCUCUUCUCAAACGCUUUGAUGACUUCCACACAAUGGACAAAGAGAAGCAUAAGGAAGAAAACAAGGAGGAAGACCGAGUGGAUGGCAAUUAUGAUGAUGAUUACACUGCUGAUACGGAACGAGAUGAUCAAGACACUCAUCAUCGACGUCGCCUACGUCACACCCGUAGAGGUAUGGGUGGCCACCACCGACGCGAGGUACACAAUAAUAAUGAUGCUUUCAGUAAGAUUAAAUUUAAAAUACCUCCUUUUGAUGGUAAAUAUGACCCUGAUGCAUACAUUACUUGGGAGAUUGCUGUUGACCAAAAGUUUACAUGUCAUGAAUUCCCUGAGGAUACACGUGUUAGGGCUGCUACUAGUGAGUUCACCGAUUUUGCUUCCGUUUGGUGGAUAGAACAUGGCAAGAAAAAUCCUAAUAACAUACCUAGAACUUGGAAUGCGUUGAAACAAGUCAUGAGGGCUACAUUUGUUCCUUCUUACUAUGCACGUGACAUGAUUAAUAAGUUGCAGCAAUUGAGACAAGGUGCUAAAAGUGUAGAAGAAUAUUAUCAGGAAUUACAAAUGGGUAUGCUGCGAUGUAAUUUAGAGGAGGAAGAAGAACCUGCUAUGGCUAGAUUUUUGGGCGGGUUAAAUCGUGAAAUCCAGGACAUUCUUGCUUAUAAAGAUUAUACUAACGUAACCCGUUUGUUUCAUCUUGCUUCUAAAGCUGAAAGGGAAGUGCAGGGACGACGUUCUAGUGCCAAAUCUAACAAUUCUGCAGGGAAAACCUGGCAACAAGGAGUUCUAUCGGGUGUGUCCAAAUCAAUUUCUAAGCAAAUGGUACGUUCCAUGCAGACCGUGCAUCUAUCUUGCAUCAAGAUUAGCACUAUCUCCAAAUAGAUCAAAUCGAGGUUUCACUUCAGCCUUUUACCUAGGAGUACCAUCGGGUGCAUCCAAAAUGGUUUCUUAGCCUAUGCUGCAUUAUGUGCAAACCUUGCACCUAUCUUGCACCGAAACUAACACUGUCUCCAAACAGACCAAAGCAAGAUUUUGUAUGACACACGUCAUCUAGGAGUUCCAUCAUGUGCGUCCAGAUUGAUUUCCAAGCAUUUGGUAUGUUCCAUGCAACCAUGCACCUAUCUUUCGUCAAGAUUAGUACUAUCUCCAAACAGACCGAAGCGAGCAUCCACUUGAGCCCCUUCACCUAGGAGUACCAACAAGUGCGUCCAAAAUGGUUUCUUAGACUAUGGUGCAUUAGGUGCAAACUGUGCCCCUAUUGAUGAGGACAUCAACACCAUCGAUAUAUCCGCACCUACACCAGUUGGUCCUCGUACUCAUGCUCGUGCCCGUCAACUCAACCUUCAAGUAAGUUCAGUUUUAAACUCUUGUCAAUCAUAUUUAGACAAUGGAGGCACGUGCACUUUCGUGUUGCUCAGGAAUAAUGGACAAGAUCAGCAAGGGAAGGUUCAACUGCAUUCGGAAUUUGAGGCAACACCAACUUCAAGGGCUGAUUGCAUAUGGGAAGAGUGAUAACUUAACAAAGGUGAUUGGAGAUCAGGUCCAAGCCUCCACAACAUCCUCUAUCAAGUUACCACGUCGCUUCUAAAGCAAGGAAACAAAGAGUCCAAACCCAACACGUUUUGGGAGUUGGAUUCGGACUGGAAAAUAACUCUAACUUGUAUGGAUCACCACGGCGUCAUAUGGACUCCAACUGGGACGUUCCUAUACUUGUUGAAAAGCUCAUGAAGUCUACUUUUCAAUGGGUCCAACCACAUAUCUAUGCAGCUUAUGAGUCGGGCGCAGUCCUUGUUUUUGUGCCAACACCUUUUUCUGUUUUGGUGCUGCGUCACCCUAUUUUGGACCAAUGGCCCAUGUAUCAAGUUGAGUCCAUUAGGGACGCGUCCUAGGGUUGGAGGACGACUCUAGCACCCCUUUGGUCGUCCUCCCCUCUAUUUAUUUACAUCUAGAGCCGCCAUGAACAACUGGGUUUUGAUUAGAUAAAGUUUAGCCUUUGCUACUUGCUUGUAAAACCAUGCACAUAUCAUGCACCGAAACUAACACUAUUUCUAAACAGACCAAAGUGAGAUUCCAUAUGACACACAUUAUCAAGGAGUUCCAUCGGGUGCAUCCAAAUUGAUUUCCAAGCAUAUGGUAUGUUCCAUGCAAACCGUGCACCUAUCUUUCAUCAAUUUUAGCACAAUCUCCAAACAGACCGAACCGAGCUUCCACUUGAGCCUCUUCAUCUAGGAGUACAAACAGGUGUGUCAAAAGUGGUUUCUUAGACUAUGGUGCAUUACGCACAAACUAUGAACCUAUCUUGCACCGAAAAUAAUAUUGUCUCCAAACAGACCGAAGCGAGAUUCCAUAUGACACACGUCAUCUAGGAGUUCCAUUGGCUGCGUCCAAAUUGAUUUCCUGACAUAUGGUACGUUGCAUGCAAACUGUGCAACUAUCUUGCAUCAAGAUUAGCACUAUAACCGAACAUGCCAAAUUGAGCCUCCACUUGAGCCUCUUCAACUACGAGUACCAUCCGGUGCGUCUAAAAUGGUUUCUUAGCCUAUGGUGCAUUAGGCGUAAACCGUGCACACUGUCUCUAAACGAACCGAAGUAAGAUUCCAUAUGAUACAAAUCAUCAAGCAGUUAUAUCAGGUGUGUCCUAAUUGAUUUCUAAGCAUAUCAUAUGUUCCAUGCAAACCGUGUAUCUAUCUUACAUCAAGACUAGCACUAUCUCCAAAUAGACCAAACCGAGCUUUCACUUUAGCCCCUUGACCUAGGAAUAGCAUCGGGUGCGUCCAAAAUGGUUUCUUAUCCUAUGGUGCAUUAGGUGCAAACCGUGCACCUAUCUUGCACCGAAACUAACACUGUCUCUAAAUGGACCGAAGUGAGAUUCCAUAUGACACAUGUCAUCUAGGAGUUCCAUCUGGUGCGUCCAAAUUGAUUUCUGGGCAUAUGGUAUGUUCCAAGCAAAUCGUGCACCUAUCUUGCAUCAACAUUAGCACUAUCUCUAAACAGACCAAACCGAGCCUCCACUUGAGCCUCUUAACUUAGGAGUACUAACAGGUGUUUCCAAAAUGGUUUCUUAGACUUUGGUGCAAUAGGCGCAAACCGUGCACAUAUCUUGCACCGAAACUAAUAUUGUCUCUAAGCACACCAAAGUAAGAUUCCAUAUGACACACGUCAUCAAGGAGUUCUAUCGGGUGUGUCCAUAAUUUCUAAGCAUAUGGUAUGUUCCAUGCAGACCGUAGAUCUAUCUUGCAUCAAGAUUAGCACUAUCUCCAAAUAGACCAAACCGAGCUUUCACUUGAGCCUUUUACCUAGGAAUACCAUCGGGUGUGUCCAAAAUGGUUUCUUAGCCAAUGCUGCAUUAUGUGCAAACCUUGCACCUUUCCUGCACCGAAAGUAACAUGUCUCCAAACAGACCGAAGCAAGAUUUCGUAUGACACACGUCAUCUAGGUGUUUCAUCAUGUGCUUCCAGAUUGUUUUCCAAGCAUUUGGUAUGUUCCAUGCAAACCGUGCACCUAUCUUGCAUCAAGAUUAGCACUGUCUCCAAAUAGACCGAACCGAGCAACCACUUGAGCCCCUUCACCUAGGAGUACCAACAAGUGCGUCCAAAAUGGUUUUGUAGACUAUGGUGCAUUAGGUGCAAACUGUGCACCUAUUUUGCACCAAAACUAACGUGUUACCAAUUGGAACGAAGCGAGAUUCCAUGUGACACACGUCCUCAAGGAGUUCCAUCGGGUGCAUCGAAAUUGAUUUCCAAGCAUAUGGUAUGUUCUAUGCAAACCAUGCACCUACCUUGCUUAAGGAUUAGCACUAUCUCCAUAGUGACCAAACCAAGCUUCCAUUUGAGCCUCUUCACCCAGGAGUACCAAAUAGUGCGUCCAAAAAGGUUUCUAGACUAUGGUGCAUUAAGCACUACCUGUGCACCUAUCUUGCACUAAAACUUACAAUGUCUACAAACGAACCGAAGCAAGAUUCCAAUAUGACACACGUCAUCUAGGAUUUCCAUUGGGUGCGUCCAAAUUGAUUUCUAAGCAUAGGUUAUGUUACAUGCAAAUCAUGCACCUAUCUUGCAUCAAGAUUAGCACUAUCUCUAGACAGAUCGAACCGAGCCUCCACUUGAGCCUCUUCACCUAGGAGUACCAACAAGUGCUUCCAAAAUGGUUUCUUAGACUUUGGUGCAUUAGGCGCAAACCGUGCACAUAUCUUGCACCGAAACUAAUACUGUCUCUAAGCACACCAAAGCGAGAUUCCAUAUGACACACGUCAUGAAGGAGUUCUAUUGGGUGUGUCCAAAUUAAUUUCUAAGCAUAUGGUACGUUCUAUGUAGACCGUGCAUCUAUCUUGCAUCAAGAUUAGCACUAUCUCCAAAUAGACCAAACUGAGCUUUCACUUGAGCCUUUUACCUAGGAGUACCAUCGGGUUCAUCCAAAAUGGUUUCCUAGCCUAUGCUGCAUGUGCAAACCUUGCACCUAUCCUGCACCAAAACUAACACUGUCUCCAAACAGACCGAAGCAAGAUUUCGUAUGACACACGUCAUCUAGGAGUUCCAUCAUGUGCUUCCAGAUUGUUUUCCAAGCAUUUGGUAUGUUUCAUGCAAACGCGUGCACCUAUCUUUCGUCAAGAUUAGUACUAUCUCCAAACAGACCGAAGCGAGCAUCCACUUGAGCCCCUUCACCUAGGAGUACCAACAAGUGCGUCCAAAAUGGUUUCUUAGACUAUGGUGCAUUAGGUGCAAACUGUGCCCCUAUUGAUGAGGACAUCAACACCAUCGAUAUAUCCGCACCUACACCAGUUGGUCCUCGUACUCAUGCUCGUGCCCGUCAACUCAACCUUCAAGUAAGUUCAGUUUUAAACUCUUGUCAAUCAUAUUUAGACAAUGGAGGCACGUGCACUUUCGUGUUGCUCAGGAAUAAUGGACAAGAUCAGCAAGGGAAGGUUCAACUGCAUUCGGAAUUUGAGGCAACACCAACUUCAAGGGCUGAUUGCAUAUGGGAAGAGUGAUAACUUAACAAAGGUGAUUGGAGAUCAGGUCCAAGCCUCCACAACAUCCUCUAUCAAGUUACCACGUCGCUUCUAAAGCAAGGAAACAAAGAGUCCAAACCCAACACGUCUUGGGAGUUGGAUUCGGACUGGAAAAUAACUCUAACUUGUAUGGAUCACCACGGCGUCAUAUGGACUCCAACUGGGACGUUCCUAUACUUGUUGAAAAGCUCAUGAAGUCUACUUUUCAAUGGGUCCAACCACAUAUCUAUGCAGCUUAUGAGUCGGGCGCAGUCCUUGUUUUUGUGCCAACACCUUUUUCUGUUUUGGUGCUGCGUCACCCUAUUUUGGACCAAUGGCCCAUGUAUCAAGUUGAGUCCAUUAGGGACGCGUCCUAGGGUUGGAGGACGACUCUAGCACCCCUUUGGUCGUCCUCCCCUCUAUUUAUUUACAUCUAGAGCCGCCAUGAACAACUGGGUUUUGAUUAGAUAAAGUUUAGCCUUUGCUACUUGCUUGUAAAACCAUGCACAUAUCAUGCACCGAAACUAACACUAUUUCUAAACAGACCAAAGUGAGAUUCCAUAUGACACACAUUAUCAAGGAGUUCCAUCGGGUGCAUCCAAAUUGAUUUCCAAGCAUAUGGUAUGUUCCAUGCAAACCGUGCACCUAUCUUUCAUCAAUUUUAGCACAAUCUCCAAACAGACCGAACCGAGCUUCCACUUGAGCCUCUUCAUCUAGGAGUACAAACAGGUGUGUCAAAAGUGGUUUCUUAGACUAUGGUGCAUUACGCACAAACUAUGAACCUAUCUUGCACCGAAAAUAAUAUUGUCUCCAAACAGACCGAAGCGAGAUUCCAUAUGACACACGUCAUCUAGGAGUUCCAUUGGCUGCGUCCAAAUUGAUUUCCUGACAUAUGGUACGUUGCAUGCAAACUGUGCAACUAUCUUGCAUCAAGAUUAGCACUAUAACCGAACAUGCCAAAUUGAGCCUCCACUUGAGCCUCUUCAACUACGAGUACCAUCCGGUGCGUCUAAAAUGGUUUCUUAGCCUAUGGUGCAUUAGGCGUAAACCGUGCACACUGUCUCUAAACGAACCGAAGUAAGAUUCCAUAUGAUACAAAUCAUCAAGCAGUUAUAUCAGGUGUGUCCUAAUUGAUUUCUAAGCAUAUCAUAUGUUCCAUGCAAACCGUGUAUCUAUCUUACAUCAAGACUAGCACUAUCUCCAAAUAGACCAAACCGAGCUUUCACUUUAGCCCCUUGACCUAGGAAUAGCAUCGGGUGCGUCCAAAAUGGUUUCUUAUCCUAUGGUGCAUUAGGUGCAAACCGUGCACCUAUCUUGCACCGAAACUAACACUGUCUCUAAAUGGACCGAAGUGAGAUUCCAUAUGACACAUGUCAUCUAGGAGUUCCAUCUGGUGCGUCCAAAUUGAUUUCUGGGCAUAUGGUAUGUUCCAAGCAAAUCGUGCACCUAUCUUGCAUCAACAUUAGCACUAUCUCUAAACAGACCAAACCGAGCCUCCACUUGAGCCUCUUAACUUAGGAGUACUAACAGGUGUUUCCAAAAUGGUUUCUUAGACUUUGGUGCAAUAGGCGCAAACCGUGCACAUAUCUUGCACCGAAACUAAUAUUGUCUCUAAGCACACCAAAGUAAGAUUCCAUAUGACACACGUCAUCAAGGAGUUCUAUCGGGUGUGUCCAUAAUUUCUAAGCAUAUGGUAUGUUCCAUGCAGACCGUAGAUCUAUCUUGCAUCAAGAUUAGCACUAUCUCCAAAUAGACCAAACCGAGCUUUCACUUGAGCCUUUUACCUAGGAAUACCAUCGGGUGUGUCCAAAAUGGUUUCUUAGCCAAUGCUGCAUUAUGUGCAAACCUUGCACCUUUCCUGCACCGAAAGUAACAUGUCUCCAAACAGACCGAAGCAAGAUUUCGUAUGACACACGUCAUCUAGGUGUUUCAUCAUGUGCUUCCAGAUUGUUUUCCAAGCAUUUGGUAUGUUCCAUGCAAACCGUGCACCUAUCUUGCAUCAAGAUUAGCACUGUCUCCAAAUAGACCGAACCGAGCAACCACUUGAGCCCCUUCACCUAGGAGUACCAACAAGUGCGUCCAAAAUGGUUUUGUAGACUAUGGUGCAUUAGGUGCAAACUGUGCACCUAUUUUGCACCAAAACUAACGUGUUACCAAUUGGAACGAAGCGAGAUUCCAUGUGACACACGUCCUCAAGGAGUUCCAUCGGGUGCAUCGAAAUUGAUUUCCAAGCAUAUGGUAUGUUCUAUGCAAACCAUGCACCUACCUUGCUUAAGGAUUAGCACUAUCUCCAUAGUGACCAAACCAAGCUUCCAUUUGAGCCUCUUCACCCAGGAGUACCAAAUAGUGCGUCCAAAAAGGUUUCUAGACUAUGGUGCAUUAAGCACUACCUGUGCACCUAUCUUGCACUAAAACUUACAAUGUCUACAAACGAACCGAAGCAAGAUUCCAAUAUGACACACGUCAUCUAGGAUUUCCAUUGGGUGCGUCCAAAUUGAUUUCUAAGCAUAGGUUAUGUUACAUGCAAAUCAUGCACCUAUCUUGCAUCAAGAUUAGCACUAUCUCUAGACAGAUCGAACCGAGCCUCCACUUGAGCCUCUUCACCUAGGAGUACCAACAAGUGCUUCCAAAAUGGUUUCUUAGACUUUGGUGCAUUAGGCGCAAACCGUGCACAUAUCUUGCACCGAAACUAAUACUGUCUCUAAGCACACCAAAGCGAGAUUCCAUAUGACACACGUCAUGAAGGAGUUCUAUUGGGUGUGUCCAAAUUAAUUUCUAAGCAUAUGGUACGUUCUAUGUAGACCGUGCAUCUAUCUUGCAUCAAGAUUAGCACUAUCUCCAAAUAGACCAAACUGAGCUUUCACUUGAGCCUUUUACCUAGGAGUACCAUCGGGUUCAUCCAAAAUGGUUUCCUAGCCUAUGCUGCAUGUGCAAACCUUGCACCUAUCCUGCACCAAAACUAACACUGUCUCCAAACAGACCGAAGCAAGAUUUCGUAUGACACACGUCAUCUAGGAGUUCCAUCAUGUGCUUCCAGAUUGUUUUCCAAGCAUUUGGUAUGUUUCAUGCAAACCGUGCACCUAUCUUGCAUCAAGAUUAACACUAUCUCCAAACAGACCGAACCGAGCACCUAUAUUGCACUAAAACUUACAAUGUUUACAAACGAACCGAAGCAAGAUUCCAUAUGACACACGUCAUCUAGGAGUUCCAUUGGGUGCACACAAAUUGAUUUCUAAGCAUAUGUUAUGUUCCUUGCAAAUCAUGCACCUAUCUUGCAUCAAGAUUUGCACUGAGCCUCUUCACCGAAGUACCAACAGGUGCUUCCAAAAUGGUUUCUUGGACUAUGGUGCAUUAGGCGCAAACCAUGCACAUAUCUUGCACCAAAACUAACACUAUUUCUAAACAAACACAAGUGAGAUUCCGUAUGACACACGUCAUCAAGGAGUUCCAUCGGGUGCAUCCAAAUUGAUUUCCAAGCAUAUGGUAUGUUCCAUGCAAACCAUGCACCUAUCUUGCAUCAAGAUUAGCAAUAUCUCCAAACAGACCAAACCGAGCUGCCACUUGAGCUUCUUCAUCAAGGAGUACAAACAGGUGCGUCAAAAAUGGUUUCUUAAACUAUGGUGCAUUAGGCACAAACUAUGCACCUAUCUUGCAUCGAAACUAACAGUCUCCAAACUGAACGAAGAGAGAUUCCAUAUGACACAUGUCAUCUAGGAGUUUCAUUGGGUGCGUCCAAAUUGAUUUCUUAACAUAUGGUACGUUCCAUGCAAACUGUACAACUAUCUUGCAUCAAGAUUAGCACUAUAUCUGAAUAGACCAAAUCGAGCCUCCACUUGAGCCACUUCAACUACGAGUACCAUCGGGUGCGUCUAAAAUGGUUUCUUAGCCUAUGGUGCAUUAGGCGUAAACCGUGCACAUAUCUUCUACCAAAACUAACACUAUCUCUAAACGAACCGAAGCAAGAUUCCAAAUGACACACGUCAUCAAGGAGUCCCAUCGGGUGCAUCCAAAUUUAUUUCCAAGCAUAUGGCAUGUUCCAUGCAAAUCGUGCACCUAUCUUCCAUCAAGACUAGCACUAUCUCUAAACAGACCGAACCGAGCCUCCACUUGAGCCUCUUCACCUAGAAGUACCAACAGGUGCUUCCAAAAUAGGUUCUUAGACUUUGGUGCAUUAGGCGCAAACCGUGCACAUAUCUUGCACCGAAACUAAUACUACCUCUAAGCACACCAAAGCGAGAUUCCAUAUGACACACGUCAUCAAGGAGUUCUAUCGGGUGUGUCCAAAUCAAUUUCUAAGCAAAUGGUACGUUCCACGCUGACCGUGCAUCUAUCUUGCAUCAAGAUUAGCACUAUCUCCAAAUAGACCAAACUGAGCUUUCACUUGAGCCUUUUACCUAGGAGUACCAUCGGGUUCAUCCAAAAUGGUUUCCUAGCCUAUGCUGCACUAUGUGCAAACCUUGCACCUAUCUUGCACCGAAACUAACACUGUCUCCAAACAGACCGAAGCAAGAUUUCGUAUGACACACGUCAUCUAGGAGUUCUAUCAUGUGCUUUCAGAUUGUUUUCCAAGCAUUUGGUAUGUUCCAUGCAAACCGUGCACCUAUCUUGCAUCAAGAUUAGCAUUAUCUCUAAACAGACCGAACCGAGCAACCACUUGAGGCCCUUCACCUAGCAGUACCAACAAGUGCGUCCAAAAUGGUUUCUUAGACUAUGGUGCAUUAGGUGCAAACUGUGCACCUAUUUUGCACCGAAACUAACAAUGUCUCCAAAUGUACCGAAGCGAGAUUCCAUAUGACACACGUCAUCAAGGAGUUCCAUCGGGUGCAUCCAAAUUGAUUUCCAAGCAUACGGUAUGUUCCAUGCAAACCAUCCACCUACCUUAAGUAAGGAUUAACACUAUCUUCAAACUGACCAAACCAAGCUUCCACUUGAGCCUCUUCACAGAGGAGUACCAAAUAGUGCGUCCAAAAUGGUUUCUUAGCCUAUGGUGCAUUAGGCGCAAACUGUGCACCUAUCUUGAACUAAAACUUACAAUGUCUACAAACGGACAGAAGCAAGAUUCCAUAUGACACACGUCAUCUAGGAGUUCCAUUGGGUGCGUCCAAAUUGAUUUGUAAGCAUAGGUAUGUUCCUUGCAAAUUAUGCACCUAUCUUGCAUCAAGAUUAGCACUAUCUCCAAACAGAUCAAACCGAGCUUCCACUUGAGGCUCUUCACCGAAGUACCAACAGAUGCUUCCAAAAUGGUUUCUUAGACUAUGGUGCAUUAGGCGCAAACCAUGCACAUAUCUUGCACCGAAACUAACACUGCAUCUGAAUAGACCAAAGCGAGAUUCCAUAUGACACACAUCAUCGAGGAGAUCCAUCGGGUGCAUCCAAAUUGAUUUCCAAGCAUAUGGUAUGUUCCAUGCAAACCGUGCACCUAUCUUGCAUCAAGAUUAGCACUAUCUCCAAACAGACCGAACCGAGCUUCCACUUGAGCCUCUUCAUCUAGGAGUACAAACAGGUGCGUCAAAAAUGGUUUUUUAGACUAUGGUGCAUUAGACACAAACUAUGCACCUAUCUUGCACCGAAACUAACAUUGUCUCCAAACAGAUAGAACCGAGAUUCCAUAUGACACAUGUCAUCUAGGAGUUCCAUUGGGUGCGUCCAAAUUGAUUUCUUAACAUAUCGUACAUUGCAUGCAAACUGUGCAACUAUCUUGCAUCAAGAUUAGCACUAUAUACGAACAGACCAAAUCGAGCCUCCACUUGAGCCUAUUCAACUACGAGUACCAUCGGGUGCGUCUAAAAUGGUUUCUUAGCCUAUGGUGCAUUAGGCGUAAACCGUGCACAUAUAUUCUACCAAAACUAACACUGUCUCUAAACGAACCGAAGCAAGAUUCCAUAUGACACACAUCAUCAAGGAGUUAUCAGGUGCGUCCUAAUUGAUUUAUGAGCAUAUCGUAUGUUCCAUGAAAACCGUGCAUCUAUCUUGCAUCAAGACUAGCACUAUCUCCAAACAGACCAAACCGAGCUUUCACUUUAGCCCCUUGACCUAGGAAUACCAUCGGGUGCGUCCAAAAUGGUUUCUUAUCCUAUGGUGCAUUGGGUGCAAACCGUGCACCUAUCUUGCACCAAAACUAACACUGUCUCCAAACAGACCCAAGCAAGAUUCCAUAUGACACAUGUCAUCUAGGAGUUCCAUCUGGUGCGUCCAAAUUGAUUUUUGAGCAUAUGGUAUGUUCCUUGCAAAUCGUGCACCUAUCUUACAUCAAGAUUAGCACUAUCUCUAAACAGACCGAACCGAGCCUCCACUUGAGCCUCUUCUCCUAGGAGUACUAACGGGUGCUUCCAAAAUGGUUUCUUAGACUUUGGUGCAUUAGGCGCAAACCGUGCACAUUUCUUGCACCGAAACAAUACUGUCUCUAAGCACACCAAAGCGAGAUUCCAUAUGACACACAUCACCAAGGAGUUCUAUCGGGUGUGUCCAUAUUAAUUUCUAAACAUAUGGUAUGUUCCAUGCAGACUGUGCAUCUAUCUUGCAUCAAGAUUAGCACAAUCUCGAAAAAGACCAAACCGAGCUUUCACUUGAGCCUUUUAACUAGGAGUACCAUCGGGUGCGUCCAAAAUGGUUUCUUAGCCUAUGCUGCAUUAUGUGCAAUCCUUGCACCUAUCUUGCACCGAAACUAACACUAUCUCCAAACAGACCGAAGCAAGAUUUCGUAUGACACACGUCAUCUAGGAGGUCCAUCAUGUGCGUCCAGAUUGAUUUCCAAGCAUUUGGUAUGUUCCAUGCAAAUUGUGCACCUAUCUUGCAUUAAGAUUAGCACUAUCUCCAAACAGACUGAACCGAGCAUCCAGUAGGAGUACCAACAAGUGCAUCCAAAAUGGUUUCUUAGACUAUGGUGCAUUAGGUGCAAACUGUGCACCUAUCUUGCACUGAAACUAACAAUAUCUCCAAAUGGACCGAAGCGAGAUUCCAUAUGACACACGUCAUCAAGGAGUUCCAUCGGGUGCAUCCAAAUUGAUUUCCAUGCAUAUGGUAUGUUUCAUGCAAACCGUGCACCUAUCUUGCAUCAAGAUUAGCACUAUCUACAAACAGACCGAACUGAGCUUCCACUUGAGCCUCUUCAUCUAGGAGUACAAACCGGUGCGUCAAAAAUGGUUUCUUCGACUAUGGUGCAUCAGGCACAAACUAUGCACCAAUCUUGCACCGAAACUAACAAUGUUUCUAAACACACCAAAGCAAGAUUCCAUAUGACACACGUCAUCAAGGAGUUCCAUCGGGUGCAUCCAAAUUGAUUUCCAAGCAUAUGGUAUGUUCCAUGCAAACCGUGCACCUAUCUUGCAUCAAAAUUAGAACUAUCUCCAAACAGACCGAACCGAGCUUCCACUUGAGCCUCUUCAUCUAAGAGUACAAACAUGUGUGUCAAAAAUGGUUUCUUAGACUAUGGUGCAUUAGGCACAAACUAUGCACCUAUCUUGCACCGAAACUAACAUUGUCUACAAACAGACCGAACCGAGAUUCCAUAUGACACAUGUCAUCUAGGAGUUCCAUUGGGUGUGUCCAAAUUGAUUUCUUAACAUAUGGUACGUUGCAUGCAAACUGUGCAACUAUCUUGCAUCAAGAUUAGCACUAUAUCCGAACAGACCAAAUCGAGCCUCCACUUGAGCCUCUUCAACUACGAGUACCAUCGUGUGCGUCUAAAAUGGUUUCUUGGUCUAUGGUGCAUUAGGCGUAAACCGUGCACAUAUCUUCUACCAAAACUAACACUGUCUCUAAACGAACCGAAGCAAGAUUCCAUAUGAUACACAUCAUCAAGGAGUUAUAUCAGGUGCGUCCUAAUUGAUUUUUGAGCAUAUCAUAUGUUUCAUGCAAACCGUGCAUCUAUCUUGCAUCAAGAUUAGCACUAUCUCUAAACAGACUGAACCGAGCCUCCACUUGAGCCUCUUCACCUAGGAGUACCAACACGUGCUUCCAAAAUGGUUUCUUAUACUUUGGUGCAUUAGGCGCAAACUAUGCUCAUAUCUUGCACCAAAACUAAUACUGUCUCUAAGCACACCAAAGCGAGAUUCCAUAUGACACACGUCAUCAAGGAGUUCUAUCGGGUGUGUCCAAAUUAAUUUCUAAGCAAAUGGUACGUUCCAUGCAGACCGUGCAUCUAUCUUGCAUCAAGAUUAGCACUUAGAUCAAACUGAGCUUUCACUGGAGCCUUUUACCUAGAAGUAGGGUGCAUCCAAAAUGGUUUGUUAGCCUAUGCUGCAUUAUGUGCAAAACCUUGCACCUAUCUUGCACCGAAACUAACACUGUCUCCAAACAGACCAAAGCAAGAUUUUGUAUGACACACGUCAUCUAGGGUUCCAUCAUUUGCGUCCAGAUUGAUUUCCAAGCAUUUGGUAUGUUCCAUGCAAACCGUGCACCUAUCUUGCAUCAAGAUUAGCACUAUCUCCAAACAGACCUGUCGGUGUUUUCCCCCGGGGGGUCACACCAACGAGUAAAUUUGUAUGCGUACUCCCUUUUCCAGAUGGUGAUGCAAAAAGACACAAAGAUUUAUCCUAGUUUGGGCAAGAGAAGGCCCUACGUCCAGCGGGGGGGAGAGUUUGUAUUAUUUUGCACCUAAGUGCUUGUACAGGGGUGAAUACAAGCGUGGCAUGGAUGGAGUAUGAGUGAAUUCGCUCUACUGCGUAUGGCUUGUGUGUUCGGUGAUGUUGUAUCCCGUCCCCUGUAUCCGCUCCCGGGCCUCCCCUUUUAUAGUUCCAAGGAGAGACCUAGGGUACAUGUAUAGGCGCCAGAGCAGGGGUCGAUAGAGGUAUGGCGCGCUGACCUACUCGAGGCCUCCGUACCGGCGUGGUUUCGAGCCGUCUUGUCCCGGUAGCUUGAUGAUGAUUACGCGUGCCCCGGUAUCCCGCUCUGCGCGCCGUCCUGGGCCUGUUUAUCUGUUGCAUGCUUGUACGUCGCGGCAGCAUCUGCGUAGGAGUGGUUGAGGCGCUGUCACUCGACGCUCGACCCUUCCUUGGGAAGGAAACAUGUCUACUCGAGGGUCAGGUACCGUAUAACGCCUGGCUAGCGAGAGAGCUAACCUUGGGCGUCUCGAGGGGGGUUUUGAUUAGACAUCUUGACCCAUUCCCUGCAACCUGUCGCGCUCUAGCUUAUUUGGUGGGGAAGGCUGCAAAAAGAAUGACGAGACGGAUGCCUGUUCCCUAUCACGCUUCCCGUGACUGGCGGGUUAGGUGAGAACGCGACAGGCGCAUUAAAUGCCCUGGUUCCCGUGCCUGCGUCAGGCGGCGGACGGCGUCCUUGCGCUCGAUGCCUUCUGAUUCGCUCGAGCCUGUUUCCGUGUUCGACGGUAGAUGGUGCUCGAGCCCUGAUCGAUUCGCAGGACGCUCUUUCCGUGUUCGAGACUAUGACCGUCGAGGACCGUACGCGUGGCUAGGCAGAGCGUCGAGUCGGAGGCCUCGACUUGCGUAUGGGCACUCUCGUUAUGCACAUCAGUUGGGGUACCCCUUACUGAUAUCCUCGAUAAGACCGAACCGAGCAUCCACUUGAGCCCCUUCACCUAGGAGUACCAACAAUUGCGUCCAAAAUGGUUUCUUAGACUAUGGUGCAUUAGGUACAAACUAUGCACCUAUCUUGCACCGAAACUAGCAAUGUCUCCAAAUGGACCGAAGCGAGAUUCCAUAUGACACACGUCAUCAAGGAGUUCCAUCAGGUGCAUCCAAAUUGAUUUCCACGCAUAUGGUUUGUUCCAUGCAAACCAUGCAUCUACCUUGCAUAAGGAUUAGCACUAUCUCCAAACUGACCGAACCAAGUUUCCACUUGAGCCACUUCACCUAGGAGUACCAAAUAGUGCGUCCAAAAUGGUUUCUUAGACUAUGGUGCAUUAGGCGCAAACUGUGCACCUAUCAUGCACUAAAACUUACAAUGUCUACAAACGGACAGAAGCAAGAUUCCAUAUGACACACGUCAGCUAGGAGUUCCAUUGGGUGCGUCCAAAUUGAUUUCUAAGCAAAUGGUAUGUUCCUUGCACAUCAUGCACCUAUCUUGCAUCAAUAUUAGCGCUAUCUCCAAAUAGAUCAAACCGAGCUUCCACUUGAGUCUCUUCACCGAAGUACCUAUAGGUGCUUCCAAAAUGGUUUCUUAGACUAUGGUGCAUUAGGCGCAAACCCUGCACAUAUCUUGCACCAAAACUAACACUGUUUCUAAACAGACCAAAGCGAGAUUCCAUAUGACACAUGUCAUGAAGGAGUUCCAUCGGGUGCAUCCAAAUUGAUUUCCAAAGAUAUGGUAUGUUCCAUGCAAACCGUGCAACUAUCUUGCAUCAAGAUUAGCACUAUCUCCAAACAGACCGAAUCGAGCAUCCACUUCAGCCCCUUCACCUAGGAGUACCAACAAGUGUGUCCAAAAUGGUUUCUUAGACUAAGGUGCAUUAGGUGCAAACUAUGCACCUAUCUUGCACCGAAACUAACAAUGUCUCUAAAUGGACCGAAGCGAGAUUCCAAAUGACACACGUCAUCAUGGAGUUCCAUUGGGUGCAUCCAAAUUGAUUUCCAAGCAUAUGGUAUGUUCCAUGCAAACCAUGCUCCUACCUUGCAUAAGGUUUAGCACUAUCUCCAAACUGACCGAACCAAGCCUCCAUUUGAGCCUCUUCACCCAGGAGUACCAAAUAGUGCGUCCAAAAUGGUUUCUUAGACUAUGGUGCAUUAGGCGCAAAAUGUGCACCUAUCUUGCACUAAAACUUACAUUGUCUACAAACAGACCGAAGCAAGAUUCCAUAUGACACACGUCAUCUAGGAGUUCCAUUGGGUGCGUCCAAACUGAUUUCUAAGCAUAUGGUAUGUUCCUUGCAAAUUAUGCACCUAUCUUGCAUCAAGAUUAGCACUAUCUCCAAAUAGAUCAAACCGAGCUUCCACUUGAGCCUCUUCACUGAAGUACCAAUAGGUGCUUCCAAAAUGGUUUCUUAGACUAUGGUGCAUUAGGCGCAAACCAUGCACAUAUCUUGCACCGAAACUAACACUAUUUCUAAACAGACCAAAGCGAGAUUCCAUAUGACACACGUCAUCAAGGAGUUCCAUCGGGUGCAUCCAAAUUGAUUUCCAAGCAUAUGGUAUGUUCCAUGCAAACCAUGCACCUAUCUUGCAUCAAGAUUAGCACUAUCUCCAAACAGAUCGAACCGAGCAUCCACUUGAGCCCCUUCACCUAGGAGUACCAACAAGUGUGUCCAAAAUGGUUUCUUAGACAAAGGUGCAUUAGGUGCAAACUGUGCACCUAUCUUGCACCGAAACUAACAAUGUCUCUAAAUGGACCGAAGCGAGAUUCCAAAUGACACACAUCAUUAAGGAGUUCCAUUGGGUGCAUCUAAAUCGAUUUCCAAGCAUAUGGAAUGUUCCGUGCAAACCAUGCACCUACCUUGCAUAAGGAUUAGCACUAUCUCCAAACUGACCGAACCAAGCCUCCACUUGAGCCUCUUCACUCAGGAGUACCAAAUAGUGCGUCCAAAAUGGUUUCUUAGACUAUGGUGCAUUAGGCGCAAACUGUGCACCUAUCUUGCAUUAAAACUUACAAUGUCUACAAACGGACCGAAGCAAGAUUCCAUAUGACACACGUCAUCUAGGAGUUCCAUUGGGUGUAUCCAAACUAAUUUUUAAGCAUAUGGUAUGUUCCAUGCAAACCGUGCACCUAUCUUGCAUCAAGAUUAGCACUAUCUCCAAACAGACCGAACCGAGCAUCCACUUGAGCCCCUUCACAUAUGAGUACCAACAAGGGCGUCCAAAAUGGUUUCUGAGACUAUGGUGCAUUAGGUGCAAACUGUGCACCUAUCUUGCACCAAAACUAACAAUGUCUCCAAAUGGACCGAAGCGAGAUUCCAAAUGACACACAUCAUCAAGGAGUUCCCUUGGGUGCAUGCAAAUUGAUUUCUAAGCAUAUGGUAUGUUUCAUGCAAAUCAUGCACCUACCUUGAAUAAGGAUUAGCACUAUCUCCAAUCUGACCAAACCGAGCUUCCACAUGAGCCUAUUCACCCAGGACUACCAAAUAGUGCGUCCAAAAUGGUUUCUUAGACUAUGGUGCAUUAGGCGCAUACUGUGCACCAAUCUUGCACUAAAACUUACAAUGUCUACAAACGGACCGAAGCAACAUUCCAUAUGACACACGUCAUCUAGGAGUUCCAUUGGGUGCGUCCAAACUGAUUUCUAAGCAUAUGGUAUGUUCCAUGCAAACCGUGCACCUAUCUUGCAUCAAGAUUAGCACUAUCUCCAAACAGGCCGAACCGAGCUUCCACUUGGGCCUCUUCAUCUAGGAGUACAAACAAAUUUGUCAAAAAUGGUUUCUUAGACUAUGGUGCAUUAGGCACAAUCUAUGCACCUAUCUUGCACCGAAACUAACAUUGUCUCUAAACAGACCGAAGCGAGAUUGCAUAUGACACACGUCAUCUAGCAGUUUCAUUGGGUGCGUCCAAAUUGAUUUCUUAACAUAUGGUACGUUGCAGGCAAACUGUGCAACUAUCUUGCAUGAAGAUUAGCACUAUAUCCGAACAUACUAAAUCGACCCUCCACUUGAGCCUCUUCAACUACGAGUACCAUCGGGUGCGUCUAAAAUGGUUUCUUAGCCUAUGGUGCAUUAGGCGUAAACCGUGAACAUAUCUUCUACCAAAACUAACACUAUCUCUAAACGAACCGAAGCAAGAUUCCAUAUGACACAAAUCAUUAAGGAGUUAUACCAGGUGCGUCCUAAUUGAUUUCUAAGCAUAUCGUAUGUUCCAUGCAAACUGUGCAUCUAUCUUGCAUCAAGAUUAGCACUACCUCCAAACAGAUCGAACCGAGCAUCCACUUGAGCCCCUUCACCUAGGAGUACCAACAAGUGUGUCCAAAAUGGUUUCUUAGACUAAGGUGCAUUAGGUGCAAAUUGUGAACCUAUCUUGCACCAAAACUAACAAUGUCUCCAAAUGGACCGAAGCAAGAUUACAAAUGACACACGUCAUCAAGGAGUUCCAUUGGGUGCAUCCAAAUUGAUUUCCAAGCAUAUGGUAUGUUCCAUGCAAACCAUGCACCUAUCUUGCAUAAGGAUUAGCACUAUCUCCAAACUGACCGAACCAAGUUUCCACUUGAGCCACUUCACCUAGGAGUACCAAAUAGUGCGUCCAAAAUGGUUUCUUAGACUUUGGUGCAUUAGGCGCAAACUGUGCACCUAUCAUGCACUAAAACUUACAAUGUCUACAAACGGACAGAAGCAAGAUUCCAUAUGACACACGUCAGCUAGGAGUUCCAUUGGGUGCGUCCAAAUUGAUUUCUAAGCAAAUGGUAUGUUCCUUGCACAUCAUGCACCUAUCUUGCAUCAAUAUUAGCGCUAUCUCCAAAUAGAUCAAACCGAGCUUCCACUUGAGUCUCUUCACCGAAGUACCUAUAGGUGCUUCCAAAAUGGUUUCUUAGACUAUGGUGCAUUAGGCGCAAACCCUGCACAUAUCUUGCACCAAAACUAACACUGUUUCUAAACAGACCAAAGCGAGAUUCCAUAUGACACAUGUCAUGAAGGAGUUCCAUCGGGUGCAUCCAAAUUGAUUUCCAAAGAUAUGGUAUGUUCCAUGCAAACCGUGCAACUAUCUUGCAUCAAGAUUAGCACUAUCUCCAAACAGACCGAAUCGAGCAUCCACUUCAGCCCCUUCACCUAGGAGUACCAACAAGUGUGUCCAAAAUGGUUUCUUAGACUAAGGUGCAUUAGGUGCAAACUAUGCACCUAUCUUGCACCGAAACUAACAAUGUCUCUAAAUGGACCGAAGCGAGAUUCCAAAUGACACACGUCAUCAUGGAGUUCCAUUGGGUGCAUCCAAAUUGAUUUCCAAGCAUAUGGUAUGUUCCAUGCAAACCAUGCUCCUACCUUGCAUAAGGUUUAGCACUAUCUCCAAACUGACCGAACCAAGCCUCCAUUUGAGCCUCUUCACCCAGGAGUACCAAAUAGUGCGUCCAAAAUGGUUUCUUAGACUAUGGUGCAUUAGGCGCAAAAUGUGCACCUAUCUUGCACUAAAACUUACAUUGUCUACAAACAGACCGAAGCAAGAUUCCAUAUGACACACGUCAUCUAGGAGUUCCAUUGGGUGCGUCCAAACUGAUUUCUAAGCAUAUGGUAUGUUCCUUGCAAAUUAUGCACCUAUCUUGCAUCAAGAUUAGCACUAUCUCCAAAUAGAUCAAACCGAGCUUCCACUUGAGCCUCUUCACUGAAGUACCAAUAGGUGCUUCCAAAAUGGUUUCUUAGACUAUGGUGCAUUAGGCGCAAACCAUGCACAUAUCUUGCACCGAAACUAACACUAUUUCUAAACAGACCAAAGCGAGAUUCCAUAUGACACACGUCAUCAAGGAGUUCCAUCGGGUGCAUCCAAAUUGAUUUCCAAGCAUAUGGUAUGUUCCAUGCAAACCAUGCACCUAUCUUGCAUCAAGAUUAGCACUAUCUCCAAACAGAUCGAACCGAGCAUCCACUUGAGCCCCUUCACCUAGGAGUACCAACAAGUGUGUCCAAAAUGGUUUCUUAGACAAAGGUGCAUUAGGUGCAAACUGUGCACCUAUCUUGCACCGAAACUAACAAUGUCUCUAAAUGGACCGAAGCGAGAUUCCAAAUGACACACAUCAUUAAGGAGUUCCAUUGGGUGCAUCUAAAUCGAUUUCCAAGCAUAUGGAAUGUUCCGUGCAAACCAUGCACCUACCUUGCAUAAGGAUUAGCACUAUCUCCAAACUGACCGAACCAAGCCUCCACUUGAGCCUCUUCACUCAGGAGUACCAAAUAGUGCGUCCAAAAUGGUUUCUUAGACUAUGGUGCAUUAGGCGCAUACUGUGCACCAAUCUUGCACUAAAACUUACAAUGUCUACAAACGGACCGAAGCAACAUUCCAUAUGACACACGUCAUCUAGGAGUUCCAUUGGGUGCGUCCAAACUGAUUUCUAAGCAUAUGGUAUGUUCCAUGCAAACCGUGCACCUAUCUUGCAUCAAGAUUAGCACUAUCUCCAAACAGGCCGAACCGAGCUUCCACUUGGGCCUCUUCAUCUAGGAGUACAAACAAAUUUGUCAAAAAUGGUUUCUUAGACUAUGGUGCAUUAGGCACAAUCUAUGCACCUAUCUUGCACCGAAACUAACAUUGUCUCUAAACAGACCGAAGCGAGAUUGCAUAUGACACACGUCAUCUAGCAGUUUCAUUGGGUGCGUCCAAAUUGAUUUCUUAACAUAUGGUACGUUGCAGGCAAACUGUGCAACUAUCUUGCAUGAAGAUUAGCACUAUAUCCGAACAUACUAAAUCGACCCUCCACUUGAGCCUCUUCAACUACGAGUACCAUCGGGUGCGUCUAAAAUGGUUUCUUAGCCUAUGGUGCAUUAGGCGUAAACCGUGAACAUAUCUUCUACCAAAACUAACACUAUCUCUAAACGAACCGAAGCAAGAUUCCAUAUGACACAAAUCAUUAAGGAGUUAUACCAGGUGCGUCCUAAUUGAUUUCUAAGCAUAUCGUAUGUUCCAUGCAAACUGUGCAUCUAUCUUGCAUCAAGAUUAGCACUACCUCCAAACAGAUCGAACCGAGCAUCCACUUGAGCCCCUUCACCUAGGAGUACCAACAAGUGUGUCCAAAAUGGUUUCUUAGACUAAGGUGCAUUAGGUGCAAAUUGUGAACCUAUCUUGCACCAAAACUAACAAUGUCUCCAAAUGGACCGAAGCAAGAUUACAAAUGACACACGUCAUCAAGGAGUUCCAUUGGGUGCAUCCAAAUUGAUUUCCAAGCAUAUGGUAUGUUCCAUGCAAACCAUGCACCUAUCUUGCAUAAGGAUUAGCACUAUCUCCAAACUGACCGAACCAAGUUUCCACUUGAGCCACUUCACCUAGGAGUACCAAAUAGUGCGUCCAAAAUGGUUUCUUAGACUAUGGUGCAUUAGGCGCAAACUGUGCACCUAUCAUGCACUAAAACAUACAAUGUCUACAAACGGACAGAAGCAAGAUUCCAUAUGACACACGUCAGCUAGGAGUUCCAUUGGGUGCGUCCAAAUUGAUUUCUAAGCAAAUGGUAUGUUCCUUGCACAUCAUGCACCUAUCUUGCAUCAAUAUUAGCGCUAUCUCCAAAUAGAUCAAACCGAGCUUCCACUUGAGUCUCUUCAUCGAAGUACCUAUAGGUGCUUCCAAAAUGGUUUCUUAGACUAUGGUGCAUUAGGCGCAAACCCUGCACAUAUCUUGCACCAAAACUAACACUGUUUCUAAACAGACCAAAGCGAGAUUCCAUAUGACACAUGUCAUGAAGGAGUUCCAUCGGGUGCAUCCAAAUUGAUUUCCAAAGAUAUGGUAUGUUCCAUGCAAACCGUGCAACUAUCUUGCAUCAAGAUUAGCACUACCUCCAAACAGAUCGAACCGAGCAUCCACUUGAGCCCCUUCACCUAGGAGUACCAACAAGUGUGUCCAAAAUGGUUUCUUAGACUAAGGUGCAUUAGGUGCGUCCAAAUUGAUUUCUAAGCAUAUGGAAUGUUCCUUGCAAAUCAUGCACCUAUCUUGCAUCAAGAUAAGCACUAUCUCCAAAUAGAUCAAACUGAGCUUCCACUUGAGCCUCUUCACCGAAGUACCAACAGGUGCUUCCAAAAUGGUUUCUUAGACUAUGGUGCAUCAGGCGCAAACCAUGCACAUAUCUUACACCGAAACUAACACUAUUUCUAAACAGACCAAAGCGAGAUUCCAUAUGACACACGUCAUCAAGGAGUUCCAUCGGGUGCAUCCAAAUUGAUUUCCAAGCAUAUGGCAUGUUCCAUGCAAACCAUGCACCUAUCUUGCAUCGAAACUAACAUUGUCACCAAACAGACCGAAGCGAGAUUCCAUAUGACACACAUCAUCUAGGAUUUCCAUUGGGUGCGUCCAAAUUGAUUUCUUAACAUAUGGUACGUUGCAUGCAAACAGUGCAACUAUCUUGCAUCAAGAUAGGCCCUAUAUCUGAACAGACGAAAUCGAGCCUCCACUUGACCCUCUUCAACUACGAGUACCAUCAGGUGCGUCUAAAAUGGUUUCUUAGCCUAUGGUGCAUCUGGCGUAAACCGUGCACAUAUCUUCUACCAAAACUAACACUGUCUCUAAACGAUGCGAAGGAAGAUUCCAUAUGACACACUUCAUCAAGGAGUUAUAUCAGGUGUGUCCUAAUUGAUUUCUGAGCAUAUCGUAUGUUCCAUGCAAACCGUGCAUCUAUCUUGCAUCAAGAUUAGCACUAUCUCCAAACAGACCAAACCUUUCACUUGAGCCCCUUGACCUAGGAGUACCGUCGGGUGCAUCCAAAAUGGUUUCUUAUCCUAUGGUGCAUUAGGUGAAAACCGGUUACCUAUCUUGCACCGAAACUAACACUGUCUCUAAACAGACCAAAUUGAGAUUCUAUACGACACAUGUCAUCUAGGAGUUCCAUCUGGUGCGUCCAAAUCGAUUUAUGAGCAUAUGGUAUGUUCCAUGCAAAUCGUGCACCUAUCUUUCAUCAAGAUUAGCACUAUCUCUAAACAGACCAAACCAAGCCUCUACUUGAGCCUCUUCACCUAGGAGUACCAGUAGGUGUUUCCAAAUGGUUUCUUAAACUUUGGUGCAUUAGGCGCAAACCGUGCACAUAUCUUGCACCAAAACUAAUACUGUCUCUAAGCACACUAAAGCGAGAUUCCAUAUGACACAUGUCAUCAAGGAGUUCUAUUGGGUGUGUCCAAAUUAAUUUCUAAGCAUAUAGUACGUUCAAUGCAGACCGUGCAUCUAUCUUGCAUCAACAUUAGCACUAUCUCCAAAUAGACGAAACCGAGCUUUCACUUAAGCCUUUUACCUAGGAGUACCAUCGGGUGCGUCUGAAAUGGUUUCUUAGCCUAUGCUGCAUUAUGUGCAAACCUUACACCAAUCUUGCACCAAAACUAACACUGUCUCCAAACAGACCGAAGCAACAUUUUGUAUGACACACGUCAUCUAGGAGUUCCAUCAUGUGCAUUUAGUUGUUCCAUGCUAACGGUGCACCUAUCUUGCAUCAAGAUUAGCACUGUCUCCAAACAGACCGAACCGAGCAUCCACUUGAGCCCCUUCACCUAGGAGUACCAACAUGUGCGUCCAAAAUGGUUUCUUAGACUACGGUGCAUUAGGUGCAAACUGUGCACCUAUCUUGCAUCAAGAUUAGCACUAUCUUGUCAUAUUCAAAACCGGGUGGUUGCUCAACAUAAACUUCUUCAUUGAUAUAGCCAUUGAGAAAUGCACUCUUUACAUCCAUUUGAUAUAACUUGAUAUUAUGUGGACAAACAUAGGCCAACAAGAUCCUAAUUGCUUCCAAUCUUGCAACCGGGGCAUAUGUUUCACCAAAGUCAAGACCUUCAACUUGAGUAUAGCCUUGUGCUACCAAUCUUGCUUUGUUCCUUACAACUAUCCCAUCUUGAUCUUGCUUGUUGCAGAAGACGCAUCUAGUAUCAAUGGUAUUAUGAUCACUAGGCCUCCCAACUAAUUCCCAUACUUGAUUUCUCUUGAAAUUGUUAAGCUCUUCAUGCAUAGCAUUAACCCAAUCAACAUCUCUCAAUGCUUCAUCAAUCUUCUUUGGCUCAAUGUGAGACACAAAGGAGAAAUGCUCACAAAAUAAUGCUAAUCUUGAUCUAGUUUGCACUCCUCUUUGAAUGUCACUAAUGAUAUGAUCCAAUGGAUGAUCUCUUGCAAUAUUUGUUGGUUGGAGUAUUUGCACUUGAUUGCUUGCACUUGGUUGAUCAUGAGAUGAUGUACUAGCUUGUUGAUCUUGCACUUGUGUACCACUUGUACUAGCUUGAUUUUGAUCAUGAGAACCACUAGCUUGCACAUUAGAGGUAGGAAGCACUUGAUCUUUGUCAUCUUCAACAUCAAUCACCUCUCUAGGCCUUAAAUCACCAAUAUCCAUGUUCUUCAUUGCAUCGGCCAAUUUAGUGCCUCUCACAUCAUCUAUAUUCUCAUCUUCCUCUUGAGAGCCAUUGGUUUCGUCAAACUCAACAUCAUGCACCUCUUCAAGAGUACCACUAGCCAAAUUCCAAACUCUAUAAGCUUUGCUAGUAGUAGAGUAACCAAGCAAGAAGCCUUCAUCACAUUUCUUUUCAAAUUUGCUCAAUCUAGUGCCUUUCUUCAAUAUGUAGCAUUUGCAACCAAAAACCUGAAAGUAUGCAAUGUUGGGCUUUCUACCAUUCAAGAGCUCAUAUGGUGUCUUCUCCAUCAUUGGGUGACAAUAGAGUCGGUUGCUAUUGUAGCAAGCCGUGUUGAUUGCUUCGGCCCAAAAAGAAUGACUCACAUUGUAUUCACUCAACAUUGAUCUUGCCAUGUCAAUCAAGGUUCUAUUCUUUCUCUCUACAAGACCAUUUGAUUGUGGAGUGUACUUGGCCGAGAAUUGAUGCCUAAUGCCAAAUUCAUCACAAAGCUCAUCAACUCUUGUGUUCUUGAAUUCACUUCCAUUGUCACUUCUCACUUUCUUGAUGGUUGUUUCAAACUCAUUGUGUAUUCUCUUGACAAAUGAUUUGAAAGUUGCAAAAGCAUCACUCUUGUCAUUGGAAAUGCUCAAGUCAUUGGAUAUAGCAAUUUUACCAAGCCCUUUGACCUUCGCUUUGCCAUUGUCACCAAAUGUGAUACUAUCAACACCAUUGUCAUCAUUUGGAUUGAUUGAAUUGAACAUUCUUGAAUCACCGGUCAUGUGUUGUGUGCACCCACUAUCAAGUACCCAAUGCCUUCCUCCGGCUUUAUAAUUUACCUACAAAACAAAUCAAUAUUUCUUAGGUACCCAUACUUGUUUGGGUCCUUGGAGGUUAGUAACUAAGCAUUUUGGUACCCAAAUGCCCUUCUUCUUUGGACCCACAAUUGGUGUACCAACAAACUUAGCAUGCACACCAUUCUCACCCUUGGUAAGCACAUAACAAGAAUCAAAUGGAAUGUAAGAUACAUUAGCAUUUUUGUUGUUUUUGUUCACUUUAUUGCAAUUAAGCUCUAGGUGCCUAACUUGCUUGCAUUUGUUGCAAUACCAACCAUUGCUCUUCACAAAGCUAGUCUUGUGAGUUGCAAAGGCCGCCUUACCUUUCUAGGGGGUAUAGCCUAAUCCCUCUUUGUUGAGAGAAAACCUUUGGCUACCCAAACACUUUAGCAAGCGGGCCUCACCACCAUAGGCCUUGCCUAGGGCGUGAGUGAGCUCAUCCACCUCUCUCUUGAGAGUCUCAUUCUCAACCUUUAGUGAGGUAUCACAAGUGACACUAACACUAGAAGUAGAGGUAGAGUUGGUGGUGGUGGAUGAAGACCUACAAGAAGAUUUAGUGGCAACAACAAUAGGUGGGUUGGGUGAUUCUUUAAUUAAGUCACAUGUUGUGCCCACAUCACAUGAUACAACAACCUUUUCCCUGUUCUCUUCUAACAACAAGGAGUGAGCUUUCUCAAGCUUGGUGUGAGCCUUGCCAAGCUUCUCAUGGGCUUCCACUAGCCUCUCAUGAUUAGCAUUGAGCUCAUCAAAGGAUUGCUCAAGAGCUUUUAACUUCUUGGGCAAUUCUUUGCACUUCUUGUUUUUAGAUUGAAUGAGAGAUUCAGCUUGUUCUAACAUGUCCAUGAGUUGUUCAUUAGUGAAUUCAUUUUCAUCAUCACUAUCACUAUGAUGUUCAUGUUCAGUUUCACUUUCAUCAUAUUGUACCUUGUGGCCCUUGGCCAUGAAGCAUGAAGGAGUGUCGAAGAGUGAUGGCUUGUUGAUAGCAAUGCUUGCAAAUGCCUUCUUUUCGGAUGAUUUGUCAUCAUCGCUUGAGUCAUCAUCCGAAGAGGCAUCACUAUCCCAUGUCACAACAUAGGAUCCACCCUUAUUCUUCUUCUUGAAGACCAUCUUCUUCUCUUUCUUUUCUUUCUUCUCCUUCUUGUUCCUCUUGUUAUGCUCAUCAUUGUCACUAUUGUAAGGACAAUCCGCCACAAUAUGAUCGGGGCUCUUGCACUUGUAGCAUAGCCUCACAUAUUCCUUGUUCUUGGAGUUGUCCCUUCUCUUCCUUGUAUGGUAGCCCUUUUCCUUCAUCAUCUUGCCAAACUUGCGGAUAAAGAGUGCUAGUGCUUCAUCAUCACUAUCAUCAUUGGAACACUCCUCAUCACUUGAUUCUUCCUUGUUCUUGCUCUUGGAUGAAGAGCUAGCUUUGAAUGCUACACUCUUCUUCUUCUUAUCAUCAUCAUCCUUCUUCAUGACCUCAUCAUCAUCAUUGUCAUUAUACUGAUCUUUGGUCAUGACAUCUCCAAGUACCUCAUUCGGAGAUACACCUGUCAAUCCACCUCUAAAGAUGAUUGUUCUCAAUGUCUUGAACCUCUUGGGCAAGCACAUCAAGAACUUUUGAAUGAAGUCCUCAUCCUUCACUUUCUCACCAAGGCCCUUGAGGUCAUUGAUAAUGACUUGGAGCCUAUAGAACAUUUUCGGAAUUGACUCAUCAUCCUUCAUAUUGAAGUUUGAUAGCUUGUCCUUGAGCAUGUACAACUUGGCACUUUUUACCGUUGUAGUGCCCUCAUUUGUUUCUUCUAGCCUUGUCCACACUUCACUUGCCUUCUCAAGAUCUUUGACUUGUUCAAAUACCUUUGAAUCAAUGCCAUUAUAGUUGUGUUGAGAGCCAUUGUAUUGCAUUGCUUGUUUGCUCUCUCAUUGUCGGUGGGGUUAGCGGGGUCAAGGAUCACAAAAUCAUUCUCCAUGACUUCCCACACUCUAUCAUUGAUUGAUCCAAGAUACAUUUUCAUUUUUCUCUUCCAAUAGUCAAAAGAACUUGUGCCAUCAAAGAACGGUGGUUUGUCCCCAACAUGGUUGAACACUAUUUGAGCCAUAAUUUGAGCACUGAGGUUGUUAAGCCUUCACAAAACGGUGACCACGGCUCCGAUACCACUUGAAAGGGCCUAAUAUGGCUAGAGGGGGGUGAAUAGCCUAUUUAAAAAUCUACAAACUCACUAGUGCAAGAGGUUAGUAGAUAACAAGCAUAGCUUUUUGCUCUAGCUCUAAAGGGGUGUUUGCCAGCCACCUAUCCAACAAUUCUAGUUGCUAUGAUCACUAUGCACACAAGAGCUAUGUCACUACUUACACUAGAGAGCUAUCUAAAGUUUCUAUACAAGUAAGUAAGCUACUCUAGUUUGCGGGAAUGUAAGAGAGAUAGUUUGAUCUUUAUACCACCACAUAGAGGGGAUGAACCAAUCAAUAAUAUGAAGUCCAAUCACCGGGAGAAAUCCAAUGAACAAUCACAAUGUAGACACACAAUUUUCUCCCGAGGUUCGCGUGCUUGCUGGCACGCUAGGUCCCUGUUGUCUCGACCAACACUUAGUGGUUCGGCGGCCAAGAGGUGUAGCACGAACGUCGUCCUCACUAGGACACCGCAAGAACUGACCCACAAGUGAGGUAACUCAAUGACACGAGCAAUCCACUAAAGUUACCUUUCGGCUCUCCACAAGGAAGGUACAAGACCCCUCACAAUCACCAGGAGAUGUCCACGAAUAAUCACCAACUCGUGCCAAUGCUCCUCCGCUGCUUCAAGCCGUCUAGGUGGCGGCAACCACCAAGAGUAACAAGAAAAACCACAGCCAAAUCGAUCCCCAAGUGCCACUAGAUGCAAUCACUCAAGCAAAUGCACUUGGAAUCACUCCCAAUCUCACAAAGAUGAAUAAUCUAUGAAGGAGAUGAGAGGGAGGUGUUUGCUUAAGCUCACAAGGAUUAAAGUAUGCUAGAAUGCCAAGAGAGUGAGCCCUAAGCCAGCCAACAACUAUUUAUAAGCUCCUCAAAAUAAAUAGAGCCGUUGGCUCUAUCACUAGGCUAAAAACGGGGUCACCUGACGAACCGCAGGGGCACCGGACGCUCAACCCAUGUGUCCGGUGCUCCAGAAACAGCCACGUGUUGCCCUAUCCACUUUCGCGCGUUGAUCUCUAACGGUCACCUGCAGAGCACCGGACGCACUCAAGUUGGCACCGGACGCGUCCGGUACUCACCGGACUUAAACUCAGGGAGGUCUGCAAACUCGCGGGGUCACCAGACGCUGAGCACGGACCGUUCGGUGCUCACUGGUCUCAUACCUAGAGAGCAUUGCAAAAGCGCAGAACACUGGACUCAAAACACCGGACGCUCAAACAGGGUCUAACCUGCGUCCGGUGCUGGGCGUCUGGUGCCUAACCCUAGUUGAGCUAGGCACUGCCUACACACCGGACGCACAGACACAGCGUCUGGUGCCUCUGAGCCAGCGUCUUCUCUAAUUUUCCCACUGGUGCAAUAGAAAAAUUGGACGUCAUUUUCUCAAAAAAGCGCCGAAUCCCGCCGAGCAAGCUCGGCCAGAGGGGGAGAGGAACCCAUCCUCUCUCUACCCUUCAAACUCCACCUCCUUUUCAAAGUUUGCCAACACCACAAUGUGUAAACCAACAUGUGCACGUGUGUUAGCAUUUUCACAAAUAUUUUCUUCAAAGGAGUUCAGUUAGCUCACUAGGUUCUAUAUGCAUGCACAUGAAUAAUGACACCUAGUGGCACUUGAGAACCGCUUAGCCAAAGAAUUCCCCUCUUUAUAGUAUGGCUAUCUAUCCGAAAUGUGAUCACACCCUCUAUGGUGUCUUGAUCACCAAAACCAAAACCCUAAGCAAUACCUUUGCCUUGAUCUCCAUAGGGUUUUGUUUUUCUCUUUCUUCUUUUCCAAGUAGAGCACUUGAUCAUCUUGUGGUCAUCACCAUCAUCACCAUGAUCAUCUCUUGCUCCAUCACUUGGCAUGUACCAACCUCAUUAAGUCUACACACACUUAGUAUAGAGGUUAGUACUAGGGUUUCAUCAAUUAUCCAAAACCAAACUAGGGCUUUCAACAGUUUGCGCCUAAUGCACCAUAGUCUAAGAAACCAUUUUGGACGCACCUGUUGGUACUCCUAGGUGAAGAGGCUCAAGUGGAAGCUCAGUUCGGUCUUUUUGGAGAUAGUGCUAAUCUUGAUGCAAGAUAGGUGCAUGGUUUGCAUGGAACGUACCAUAUGCUCAAAAAUCAAUUUGGACACACUAGAUGGAAGACCUAGAUGACGUGUGUCAUAUGGAUCUCGCUUUGGUCUGUUUGGAGACAGUGUUGGUUUCGGUGCAAGAUAUGUGCACGAUUUGCACCUAAUGCACCAUAGGCUGAGAAACCAUUUUAGAUGCACCUAAUGGUACUCCUUGGUGAAGAGGCUCAAGUGGAAACUCGAUGUGGUCUAUUUGGAGAUAGUGCUAAUCUUGAUGCAAGAUAGGUGUACAGUUUGCAUGGAAAGUACCAUAUGCUCAGAAAUAAAUUUGGACGCACCUGAAGGAACUCGUAGAUGACGUGUGUCAUAUGGAAUCUCGCUUUGGUCCGUUUGAAGAUAGUGUUAGUUUUGGUGCAAGAUAGGUGCACAGUUUGCGCAUAAUGCACCAUAGUCUAAGAAACAAUUUUGGAAAAUCUGUUGGUACUCAAAGGUGAAGAGGCUCAAGUAGAAGCUUGGUCCGGUCUGUUUGGAGAUAGUGCUAAUCUUGAUGUAAGAUAGGUGCAUGGUUUGCAUGGAACAUACCAUAUGCUCAGAAAUCAAUUUGGACGCACUCGAUGGAACUCCUAGAUGAUGUGUGUCAUAUGGUAUCUCACUUUGGUUUGUUUGGAGACAGUGUUAGUUUCGCUGCAAGAUAGGUGCACAGUUUGCUCUUAAUGCACCGAAGUCUAAGAAACCAUUUUGGACGCAUCUAUUGGUAUUUCUAGGUGAAGACGCUAAAGUGGAAGCUCGGUUUAGUCUAUUUUGAGAUUGUGCUAAUCUUAAUGCAAGAUAGGUGCAUAGUUUGCACGGGACAUACCAUAUUCCCAGAAAUCAAUUUGGACACACCCGAUGGAACUUAGAUGACGUUUGUCAUAUGGAGUCUCGCUUCGAUCUGUUUGGAGACAGUGUUAGUUUCGGUACAAGAUAGGUGCACAGUUUGUGCCUAAUGCACAAUAGGCUAAGAAACGAUAUUGGACGCACCCGAUUGCACUCAUAGGUAAAGGGGCUUAAGUGAAUGCUCGGUUUGGUCUGUUUGGAGAUAGUGCUAAUCUUGAUGUAAGAUAGGUGCACGGUUUGCAUAGAAUGUACCAUAUGCUUAGAAAUCAGUUUGGAUGCACCCGACAGAACUCUUAAAUGAUGUGUGUCAUAUGGAAUCUCACUUCCGUCCACAUGGAGAUAGUGUUAGUUUCGGUGCAAGAUAGGUGCUCGGUGUGCAUGAAACAUACCAUAUGCUUGAAAAUCAAUUUGGACACACCCGAUGGUACUCCUUGGUGAAGUGGCUCAAGUGAAAGCUCGGUUCAGUCCAUUUGGAGAUAGUGCUACUCUUGAUGCAAAAUAGGUGCACAGUUUACAUGAAACGUACCAUAUGCUUGAAAAUCAAUUUGGACGCACCUGAUGGAAGUCCUAGAUGACGUGUUUCAUAUUUUUUUAGAUAAUGGAUAAAAAUCCGGCUUCAUCUACCGAAGUAGAAUCAGGCCUCUUAUUACACAAACCACGCUCAAGAAAAUCAAAAAAUAACCACGUUCUGACAACCUAAAAAAACAGAAAGACUAAAGUAGAUCAAUUCUUCUAGUUGUAGACCAUCCAUUAGAACCAAAGAAGCGGAGGGCAGCAACUUCGAUAUGUUGACAGACUUGGAUUAAGCUGAUUCUUCAAAUCUUCACACCUUUGUAGCUUUGCCCACUGGCGUAGCCAAUGUGUUCCCCUAAAUAGAACCUGCAAAAAAGUUUUUGGUCUACCUUUGUCAAAUACCACUUCAUUUCUCGUGAGCCAGAUUGACCAACAAAGGGCGGCUGCUGCUAUUAACAUCAAAUUAUUUUGAUUACCACUUCCCACUUUUGACCAAUGAUUAAAUAAAUCAUCAAUAGUAUGGGGAGGUGGAAUGCCAAAAAGUAAAUGAACCCAACGCCACAGGAAUUUUGCAUAGUAACAAUCGAGAAAAAGGUGUUGGAUAGAUUCUGGUAAGUAGCAAAAGCCACACCUUUUAUCUCCCUCCCAAUUUCGCCUAGCUAGGUUAUCUUUAGUUAAGGUUACACCUAGUUUUAGGUACCACAAAAAUAUUUUAAUUUUUGUAAGUAUCUUUACAUGCCAGAUAUCCUAUGACACUCUAACACCAUUAUUAAUUAGAGCGGCAUACAUAGAUUUUACUGAGAAUCUCCCUGAUGAAUUAGUGACCAAGUGAAGGUAUUUGUACCCUCCUGGAGGUUCACCUCUAGUAAAGAAUUAACAAUUCUAUGCCAAUCCCUCAUAUUCCUCCCAACUAUGUUUCUACGGAAAGAGAUAUUUAACGGGACCGAACUGAGCACAUUGGACACAAUAUCCUAUUUCCUUCUUACUAGAUGAAAGAGAUCUGGGAACCUCUCUUUAAGUGGAUGGUUUCCAAGCCAUUUGUCUUCCCAGAAGCGAACCUGCGAACCAUCUCCCACUUUGAAAGACCCUAGACUCAUAAAGGUCUCUUUAACAUUCAUCAAUCCUUUCCAAAAGUGAGAAUCAGACGCCUUUUUAACAUAGGCCCCUAACAGUUUGUUUUUUAAAUGACGUGUUUCAUAUAGAAUCUCGUUUCGGUCCAUUUGGAGACAGUGUUAGUUUUGGUGCAAGAUAGGUGCAUAGUUUGUGCCUAAUGCACCAUAGCCUAAGAAACCAUUUUGGGCGCACCUGUUGGUACUCCUAGAUGAAGAGGCUCAAGUGCAAGCUGGGUUCGGUCUGCUUAGAGAUACUGCUAAUCUUGAUGCAAAAUAGGUGCAUGGUUUGCAUGGAACGUACCAUAUGCUCAGAAAUCAAUUUGGACGCACCUGAUGGAACUCCUAGAUGACGUGUGUCAUAUGCAAUCUCGGUUUGGUCUGUUUGGAGAUAGUGUUAGUUUCGGUGCAAGAUAGGUGCAUAGUUUGUGUCUAAUGCACCAUAGUCUAAGAAACCAUUUUGGACGCACCUGUUGGUCUGAGUUGAAGAGGCUCAAGUGGAAGCUCGGUUCGGUCUAUUUGGUGAUGGUGCUAAUCUUGAUGCAAGAUAGGUGCACGGUUUGCAUGGAACGUACCAUAUGCUCAGAAAUCAAUUUGGACGCACCCGAUGAAACUCCUAGAUGACGUGUUUCAUAUGGAAUCUCGCUUUGGUCCGUCUGGAGAUAGUGUUAGUUUCGGUGCAAGAUAGGUGCACAGUUUGCGUCUAAUGCACCAUAGUCUAAGAAACCAUUUUGGACGCACCUGUUGGUCCGAGGUGAAGAGGCUCAAGUGGAAGCUUGGUUCGGUCUAUUUGGUGAUGGUGCUAAUCUUGAUGCAAGAUAGGUGCACGGUUUGCAUGGAAUGUACCAUAUGCUCAGAAAUCAAUUUGGACGCACCUAAUGGAACUCCUAGAUGAUGUGUGUCAUAUGAAAUCUCGCUUUGGUCUGUUUGGAGACUGUUAGUUUUGGUGCAAGAUAGUUGCACAGUUUGCGCCUAAUGGCUCUCAAAAAAAAGUUUGCGCCUAAUGCACCACAGUCUAAGAAACCUUUUUGGACGCACCUGUUGGUACUCCUAGGUGAAGAGGCUCAAAUGGAAGUCCGGAUGGUCUGUUUAGUGAUUGAUGAGGACAUCAACACCAUCGAUAUAUCCGCACUUACACCAGUUGGAAUAAUGGACAAGAUCAGCAAGGGAAGGUUCAACUGCAUUCGGAAUUUGAGGCAACACCAACUUCAAGGGCUGAUUGCAUAUGGGAAGAGUGAUAACUUAACAAAGGUGAUUGGAGAUCAGGUCCAAGCCUCCACAACAUCCUCUAUCAAGUUACCACGUCGCUUCUAAAGCAAGGAAACAAAGAGUCCAAACCCAACACGUUUUGGGAGUUGGAUUCGGACUGGAAAAUAACUCUAACUUGUAUGGAUCACCACGGCGUCAUAUGGACUCCAACUGGGACGUUCCUAUACUGGUUGGAAAGCUCAUGAAGUCUACUUUCCAAUGGGUCCAACGACAUAUCUAUGCAGCUUAUGAGUCGGGCGCAGUCCUUGUUUUCGUGCCGAUACCUUUUUCUGUUCUGGUGCUGCGUCACCCUAUUUUGGACCAAUGGCCCAUGUAUCAAGUUGAGUCCAUUAGGGACGCGUCCUAGGGUUGGAGGACGACUCUAGCACCCCUUUGGUCAUCCUCCCCUCUAUUUAUUUACAUCUAGAGCCGCCAUGAACAACUGGGUUUUGAUUAGAUAAAGUUUAGCCUUCGCUACUUGCUUGUAAACGCGCGUGCUGAUCCAGCCGCCCGUCUUCUUGUUUUCGAAACCCCACUUCAUUAGAGAUUGAGUUUGAAACCUUCAUUUACAUCUGGUAAUUUAGUACUUGUUCUACUUGUUCUUGCUGGUUCUUCGAUUGCUUGCAGGACGAGUGCCCUAGUGGCCGGGUGUUGCGCUCCACAAGAUCGUGACAGCCAUUGGAGGCGGUGUAUCGGUUGCUAAGGCGCAGCCUUAGAAGGCUGUAGUCGGGCCGUGAACGUCAUCUCCAUUCACUAAUCGAGUUAUCCAGCGCCUCUCAUCGAAAGAUCAGGCGAAAACCCUAGUGGGUUCACAUCAGUUGGUAAUCGGAGCAAGGUUUAUCGGUGAGAGAUUUCCAAUUCUUCGUGUUUGUUUUUCCUAUAGUCCAAAAAAAGACAAAAAAUAUAGCAGAUUUGUUUUCCAUAAUCCUAUAAAUCCUUUGUGCCGUGGCUAGUACUACUUAGUUAGGGCUGGUUGAAUGAGUGUUUGCUUCGGUCGUGUCCAGUGCUGGUUUUAGUUUAGUCCUUUAGAGUUUUGAGUUCUUGUCACCAUCUAGUCACAACUGCGUCCAAUCUAUUGUGGGUUGGAAUUUGAGUAGAUCUUGAUAAUAGGUGCAGCCACUUGUUGGUCUAUUCUGCGUUUCCAUCAACGUGAUCCAAAAGGAAAGAUAGCACUUCAUACUUGUGCUAGAUAUAUUGAAUUUUGAGGUUCAGCCUUACUCUAGUGAGAGGGUGAGAGUGGUGAAGUGAUAUUUUGUACUAUUUUGUUUAUAUAAUCAGGUUUUGAGGUUCCCCAAAAAAAAGAAAAGAGAAAGAAAAAAAAUAAAGAAAAAAAAGAAAGAAAGGAAGAAAAAAAAUCAAAAAAAGGGGAUUGUUGUUCCUUUUGUUUCCAGUAGGGCUGCUCAUUUUGUUUCUAGUGGUGUGCUGUGUUUUCCGUUUGUGUCCAGGCUCGCGUCUCUAGCACAGUCUAGGCUAGGACCAGCACAGUACCACCGUUGAGCGUUUAUUCAACUUGCUUUUUAUAACUAACGUGGUGCUAGUUCGAUCCUUGUUUCAGCCCACCUAUAGCUCCACAUAUUCUACAGCUUGAUAGGUUUUGUUGCUGCGGCACCGAUACACUUCGUCCAUUGCUGUGGAUUUGUUGGUAGCCAAUCCCUCCUGUUGAGCAAGGUAAGAAUUGGUAAGAACUUGUUAGACAGG